rnacentral:rRNA from 1 species
UACGUAGGGUGCAAGCGUUGUCCGGAAUCAUUGGGCGUAAAGAGCGUGUAGGCGGCCAGGUAGGUCUGCUGUGAAAACUCGAGGCUCAACCUCGAGACGUCGGCGGAAACCAUCUGGCUAGAGUCCGGAAGAGGAGAGUGGAAUUCCUGGUGUAGCGGUGAAAUGCGCAGAUAUCAGGAAGAACACCCGUGGCGAAGGCGGCUCUCUGGGACGGUACUGACGCUGAGGCACGAAGGCCAGGGGAGCAAACGGG